CCGAAGAAGAAAUGAUUCGUUUGCGGGCGGGAGAUGAUGUGGUUCUGUUUCAAGACGAAACGGAAACUGAUGACAAUGAUAACGAUGAAACCUGGCCACCCGCGCGCAUUCAAGGCUUUGUGGAAAAGGA
rnacentral:ribozyme from 1 species